CGUGCUUAACACAUGCAAGUCGAGCGCUGAAGCCUGGUCUUUGCACUUGGUGGACGAGUGGCGAACGGGUGAGUAAAUACGUGAGUAACCUGCCCUUGACUCUGGAAUAAGCCUGGGAAACUGGGUCUAAUACUGGAUACGACAUUGGUCAUCGCAUGGGGGUGUGUGGAAAGGUUUUCUGGAUUGGGAUGGGCUCGCGGCCGAUUAGCUAGUUGGUGGGGUAAUGGCUCACCAAGGCUUUGACGGGUAGCCGGCCUGAGAGGGUGACCGGUCACAUUGGGACUGAGAUACGGCCCAGACUCCUACGGGAGGCAGCAGUGGGGAAUAUUGCACAAUGGGCGAAAGCCUGAUGCAGCGACGCCGCGUGAGGGAUGGAGGCCUUCGGGUUGUGAACUCCUUUCGCCGGUGGUGCAAGCCGCAACUGUGGGCUGUGUUGAUGGUAGUGGGUAAAGAAGCCCCGGCUAACUACGUGCCAGCAGCCGCGG
rnacentral:rRNA from 1 species